ACUGUGUCUUAUAGUGCAAAUAAGCUCA
rnacentral:piRNA from 1 species